GCACAUCACUCGGAACUACGUAAGGUAGUCUAUACGAUGAAAGGUGUAAAAUACGCUCUAGUGCUUCUCUCAUCAUAUCAUCAGCGCGCAUAUCUAAGGUCACCCACCAGUCGGAACCCCUCUAAUGGUCUGUACGACUGGCAUGUCGGAACCCUUACAUGGUCUGUACGACAUCCACCUACUUGGAUCCAAGGCGAGCGUGCGGUGUGGUGAAUAAUAUAAGCACUAACACCUAGGGUGCAGAUUAUGAGCUCAAACAUCUCAACAACAACAAUUCAAUGAAUAAACGAACUCACCUGACUUACCUGUGCCUCCACAGCACCAUGCAACAUGUAUGCAUCAUAUAUCAAUCAUAUAACUCAUAUGAAAUUCACAUUUUCCAAAUAAUUCUAUGCAUGGCAUUUUCAAAACAUAAUUUCGCAUAAAAGCAUUUUUCUGGGAAAAACAAUAGUAUAUAGGUAAUACGAAAACAAAACUGCCCACUCACCUGGAGUUCGCCCACAACUCCCUAGCACCGUACAUCAAGGCGUCAUGACGAUUAGCGCCUAGAACAACAAUCAAAUCCAACCUCAGAAAUUCUGCCGAUAGAAUACAUAACUUAUAUAAGACACGUCACUACGUAGUUCGAUCCGGAUGAUCUGCAAUUCAGAUUUCAAAUCCGUAACUUCCAGAGGUCCACAAUAUACCUCUAGGACAACAUCCUAAAAUUUCAUUACCAUCCAACGGUCGGAUCUCCGUCAAUUUCCAAAACUAAGUGACGGUUAACAUUCUAUUUUAUGAACUUACAACUUCAAUUCCGGAAGAUCCGUAAAUCGGAUUCCCAAUCCGUAAGUUCCUAUAAUCCUCAAAUAUUACGUAUUACAACGUAUCAAAGUUUUGAUGACGAUCCAACGGUCGGAUCGUCAAUUCACAUUUUCACCUAACCACGAAAUCGUAACCAACUUAGGUUCAAUUAUUCAAUUUACGUCCAUCAAUUAUCAAAACAGAACCUAGAACCUUAAUCACAAGCUAAUAAUGACAUUGGCGGGCCAUUGGCCACGCGCCGCCGCGCGGGCCGCCGCGGGUGGCGGUUGGCCGCCCCCGGCUCGCCGGAAAAUUCAACUAUUUCCAAAAAUUACCAAAAUUUUCAGAUUUGAAGAUCUCAAUGAGUAGAACAACUUUCAUACCUGAGACCAAUGCCAAUUUGGCCUGGAAGUGCUUCAAUUUCACCAAAACCGUGAAGAACCCUAGAAUUUGGGUGUUUCCAAUUCGACCUUCAAACUUGUUCCAACGCCUCAAUUACCUCUUGGGCUUUGUUCUAGGUCCUAAAGGAAUGCUAAAGGUGUUAGUAAUUGAAAGAAAACAUUUCAAAAUUUGGAGAAUUUAAACAAAAGGGUCGCGGCACCCGUAGGGGUGUUCUUCGCGAAAUCACAACGAAAUUCAAUGAUUCUUGGGGUGAAACGUGAAGAGGGAAGGCCUAGAUGAUGAUUAGGAGUGGUACCUUGACUCAAUUCGUCGGAAAAUUGGACGAAAACGGCGAAAACCCGCCGAUUUGGAAGCUUGGGUCGCGCGGGUCAAGGGUGACCCAUUCCUCCUGUUCCCCCGUGCACCACUCUCCCUCCUUUCCCUCCUUUCCGUCCCCUGAUUGGUCAGCUUCUUCCUCUCCCUUCUUCUGGUUCACUCUCAUCUCUCUUCUUCUCCGAUUGGGCAUUUCUGCCCAGUCUCUUCUUCUUUUCUGUUUUUCUGUUUCUUCUUCUCAUACACAUACACACACCAAAAACCUUUCCCUCAUCCCAGCCAUCCAUUUCAUUCAUCAAUAAAUCUGGGCCGUCCAAUUUCAUAAAAGAAUUUCUAUAUUUUACUAAAAUUAUAAUUCCUUAAAAUUCCAAAUUUCAAACGUUAAUAACUUCUUCGAUAUAACUCCAAAUCACGAACCGUCUGCGCCCACCGCGUCCGUAACGACGAGUACUACGACGAGGAUAUGUCAAGAAAACAAAUCUUAGAUGGCACGACACAACGAUUAACCUCGAAUGAUGUGCGUGCCUCAAAGGGCAUUUUUGUAAUAUCCUUUAUUAAAACUUUAAAAAUUCUUAAAAUUAGGGACGGGCUGUCACAAUCUACCCACCUUACAGAAAUUUCGUCCUCGAAAUUUACACAAUCUUUACAAUCCAUCAAUAUCCAUGAAACAGCCCGAAACACAUCUCUCUCAUUCGAUUCUUUGACUUCUAAGUAGCUUCUUCCACUGAAAGAUUCCUGCAUAAACUUUCACCAAACUCAUAGUCUUAUUUCUCAGUACAUCAUCUUUCUAAUACAAGAUAGGCACUGGCUCCUCAUCAUACGUCAAAUCCAUAUUGACUUCCAAGGUUGAGAAGGUAUCACUCGUGAAGGAUAUGAGGUUUAAUGUCGAAGUAUCGAAACAUAAAACAUAUCAUGCCCUUUCAUCGGCUCUGGAGGCAACUCAGCCUGUACGUAACUUCACUGACUCGUUCGAUGAUCACAGAUGGUCUGACGUAUCUAGGACUUACUUGUUUUUCUUUUUAAAACAAAUCAUACCUUUCCAAGGUGAUAAUUUCAAAAUCAUUCGAUCACCUACAUAUACAUCCGGUCAGUGGCAUGUUUGUCUGCUAAGCUCUUCAGCCGAUCCUGGCCCACUUCCAGGUUAGACUUAAUUACUUGAAUAUUCCGAAUAGUCUCAUCCACUAACUCAGGGCCUUGAAUACUAUCCGUCCCCAAUUCUAACAAUUUCGAAACACAAGACAUAGCUUUCCACGGCCUUAUGGCGUUACUCUAGGGAACAAACUGAAGGGACCAACAUACCCAAGAAGUUUAACAGAUCCCAAAUCUCUUUUUCCAUAAAACAAACAAAUAAAUGUUGCGCUUGUCUGGAAAAGUUGGUGUUCUCAUACUGAAGUAACAUACGCUGACGUCACCAGUCGAUCAAUUAUUAUUCAAAUUCCAACCUAACUAUUUUGUAUACGAGGAAGCUUGUCCACGAAAUCCAUAGUAAUAUUCUCCCAUUUCCGCCGUGGAAUGGGAAAUGACUACAUUAAUCCAAAAGACUUAUUUCUUUCUGCUUUAACCUGAUGACUGAUGAUACGCCUACUAACAUACUUCGCCAUUCCUCUUUUCAUACCCGUCAAUAGUACAUGAACGAAUGGUAUGAUAAAUCUUAGUACUUUUUGGGAUGCAUUGUAGAAGUGGAAAUAAUGUACAUCGUCAAAAUUGCUUUCUUUAAUUCCACACCAUUAGGCAUAAACACUUUGUUCUUUUGCAUAGGCUUGCCAUCUGAUUCUCUAACUCUAAGGUCCUUCUUUUUCCCGUUAUUCCUUGCUUUAAAAUAAAUUCUUGAAUUUCUUCGUCAAACGCUCGAGUAUCGAGUACGAUCUACCAAAUGGGUCCAACUUAGAAAUUAGCAAGUAAGGCUUCUUCUCGAUUUUUGAUACUCAACUUUACUCCAGUAGAUUUCAAAUCCACAAGAAGAUGAACAUAGCAAGCGUACCAAGCAUUAAUUUCUCACUGGGGUCUUCCUACUAAAAUGCAUCAGCCACAACAUUAGCUUGACCACCCUCGUCACACAAUCAUAGUCACUAAGCAACUCAUUCCACCUUUGUUGCCUAAGAUUAAGAUACCUCUGAAUAAACAGAUAUUGGGUACUCUUUUGAUUUGUAACAAUCAUGCACUUUUCUUCCCAUAAAGACAAUGUCUCCAAAUCUUCAAAGCAAAGAUGAUAGCUGCUAAUUCCAAAUUAUAAUUAGGGUAAUUCAUCUUAUGAGAUCCCAAUGGCCAUGAAGCAUAGGCAAUCAUCCUACCAUGUUGCAUCAACACGCAUCCAAGUACAUUCAAAGAAGUAUUAUUAUAGACCACAUAAUUACCACUAUCGUCUGGGAGUGCGAAAACAGAUGCAUGAGUGAGGGAAUACUUUACUUGCUGAAGCUCUACUCACAAUUUUUUUUAUCCCACUCAAACUUAACCUCUUUUCUCAUCAAUCUCGCCAAGGGCGAAGCAAUAAUUAAAAUCUUGGACGAACUAUCGACAAUAUCCUGCUAAUCCGAGAAAACUCUGAACCUCAGUCACAGUUCGCAAUUGUUCCAAAUUCUCAAUCGUUGCUACUCUUUUAAGAAUCCAUUUGAAUACCUUAAGUAGAUAUAAUUAAUUUAUCCAACAUUAGCAUUUGCUAAACUUAGCAUACAUCAACGUUCCCUCAAUCUUUGCAACACCAACUUUAAAUAUCUAGCAUGCACUGCUCUAAUCUUAUCAAUCUCGUCAAUGGCAAACAAUAACAACCCGGUCCAGAUAUCACUGGAAUACUUCCUUCAGCAAACUCAUAAAAGUAGCAGGUGCAUUCGUCACUCCGUAUGGCCUCCCAACUUGAAAUGACCAUAACGAGUCCUGGAUUUAGUCUUAUGAACAUCCUCACUGUUAAUCUUCAACUAAUAUCAUUCAGACCUCAAGUCAAUCUCAGAAAGUACCCAGGCGCCUCAGAGCUGAUCAAAUAAUCAUCAAUACACAACAAUGGAUAACAGCUCUCAAUCGUUACCCGAUUCAAUUACCUAAUAUCAAUGCCUAGCCUUAAUGUCCAUUUUCUUCCUCACAAAUAAACCGGAGCUUUUCCAAUGUGAUAAUAUAAGUUGAAAUGGAACUUUUAACUCAACCUGAACCAAUCUCUAACAUAGGAUUUGUACCUAAAAAACAAUUCAAUAAUAAAACCCACAUCUCUCUGCCUGGCGGCAAUCUAGGUAAGGCAUCUGGGAAUACACCAAGAAAAUGUCUAACCAUCUUUACAUCUUCCAUACUAUUAGGAUCAACAUCAUUUAGCACCAUAUGAACUCAAUAUCUUGGCAGCCUUUUGAUAACAAUCUUCUUUGCUCUCUCAACAGGAAUAAUGGCAUAACUCACUCCACUUUACUUACCCCCAAAAGUAACCUCUGGUCAUCCAGGUCGACAAAAAUUAACUGAUUCCCCAUAGCAAUCUAGCUUGACACAAAUAUACAUUUCCUCUACCAGAGUCAUCUUGUCUCAGAAAUCUGGGAUCACUAGUAAAUCUAUCACUUCGCCUCUGACCAGUGGCAGUAAAACCUAAGCUGGGAAAAUUAGCUCUAAUUUCACCUCCUUUGAAGCUCUGAGUCCUCCGAGGUCUUUGAUAUGACGAAUCUUUAACUUUAUCGUCUUAUUCUGAUUCUCAUUCCUUUCUUAUUCCUCUUUACUCUCGCUGAUCAUAUUCUCAAAGUCUUCAAAGCCCAACAACAUCUCGUAAACUCUUGGUAAAAAGUACAAUGGAUAGUGGUCGCCAAAGAACGCAACUUCUUCUUAUUAUCCAGCCAAAAACGACAUAACACCUCGACCGAAUUAACAACAUCAGAAUGGAAACAAGGCAAGUCUGUAAACUUUCUAUAAUAUUCAUCCGUCGUCAUUUUCCUUGUCUCACAUUUGCAAUUUCUUGUUUACUACCAUCACAAUAUGCCGGGGGAAUGAACUUUUCUUAAACAAUUCUUUAACCAACUUCCAAACAGUUGUCCUUCCGAUAUCGUCGGAUAACAUUCCUAUCUCCAUCAAAAUGCAGAUUCAUCACUCAAAAACUAGGUAAAUCAUCUCGACCUACCUAUCGGGAGGAAAAUUCCCUUAACCUUGCAUAAUCUGAAACGCCUUUUCCCAAUUGAUUAAGCCAUCAAUCUGCUCCCUUAGGUCCUUCAUAUCCCUAAAGGGAUUCAAAUUUAACUUAUAACCAGUCUCAAAAGGUCCCUUUAGAUAAUAGACUGAAUCACAAUGGCAAUAGUUUCCCCCCAAACUACUAUAUCAGGGAAAUUAGGCUCAUCCGAACUACGUGGCUCGCUACGAGGCGGUAUAGUUCUGACAGAAGACACUAGGAAAUUAUCAAGAUGUCCAGAAUUGCAACCUAGGCUCUGAUACCAACUGACACACCCCGUCCCGAAGGAGGGCGUGCUGGCCGUCACGUGAGAGUGACGUAACCAUUUACACAGUUCGGAAGCUUUAAAAAAAUUUCCAAUUACUAAGAUAACACACCCGAGGGUGAGUCCUACUUUUGUGAAUUCUGUCAGAACACCGUUGGAUUCCUCGUGGCCACCAAAGCUCUGCUAACUUGAACCUGGAGGGGCGCAAAACAAAAUUGAGUGGGUCAGUAAAACAAAGUUUUUUCGAAAAACUUUUCAUUUAAAACAUUUCUAACCCCUCACCGUAAAACCUGUAUACUUUCCCAGAAAAUAGCAUAUAUAUAAACAUAUAUAUAAGCAAAACUCUCAAAUCUCAAACCUUUAACACUUUUCAGAAAUAUAUAUAUAUAUAUAUAUAUAUAUAUAUAUAUAUAUAUAUAACCAUAUGAAAUCUCAAAGCUUGAAUCCCAAAUCUUUAACAUUUUUCAAGAAAAACAUGCCAUGCCAUAAAUCAAAAUAUAAAUCAGGUGAAAUAAGGAAUCAAUCGGAGACCCUGCAGUUGGUCCUAUACGAUUAAUUCAAUAGCUCAAUAUCUCACUAAGCCGGAGUCACCACAGUGACCUAUACGGCCCUACUCUGCACAUCACUCGGAACUACGUAAGGUAGUCUAUACGAUGAAAGGUGUAAAAAUAUGCUCUAGUGCUUCUCUCAUCAUAUCAUCAGCGCGCAUAUCUAAGGUCACCCACCAGUCGGAACCCCUCUAAUGGUCUGUACGACUGGCAUGUCGGAACCCUUACAUGGUCUGUACGACAUCCACCUACUUGGAUCCAAGGCGAGCGUGCGGUGUGGUGAAUAAUAUAUAAGCACUAACACCUAGGGUGCAGAUUAUGAGCUCAAACAUCUCAACAACAACAAUUCAAUGAAUAAACGAACUCACCUGACUUACCUGUGCCUCCACAGCACCAUGCAACAUGUGUAUGCAUCAUAUAUCAAUCAUAUAACUCAUAUGAAAUUCACAUUUUCCAAAUAAUUCUAUGCAUGGCAUUUUCAAAACAUAAUUUCUCAUAAAAGCAUUUUUCUGGGAAAAACAAUAGUAUAUAGGUAAUACGAAAACAAAACU
rnacentral:lncRNA from 1 species